GGAUUGUGGUUUAGUGGUAGAGCGCUCACCUAGCACAUGUGAGGCCCUGGGUUCAAUCUUCAGUACCA
rnacentral:tRNA from 1 species